GUGCUCACUUCAACAGCACAUACACUAAAAUUGGAAUGAUACAGAGAAGAUUAGCAUGGUCCCUGCACAAGGAUGACAGACAAAUUCAUGAAGCAUUCUAUAUUAAC
ensembl:snRNA U6 U6 spliceosomal RNA